GAUGAACGCUGGCGGCGUGCCUAAUACAUGCAAGUCGAGCGAACAGACGAGGAGCUUGCUCCUCUGACGUUAGCGGCGGACGGGUGAGUAGCACGUGGAUAACCUACCUAUAAGACUGGGAUAACUUCGGGAAACCGGAGCUAAUACCGGAUAAUAUAUUGAACCGCAUGGUUCAAUAGUGAAAGACGGUUUUGCUGUCACUUAUAGAUGGAUCCGCGCCGCAUUAGCUAGUUGGUAAGGUAACGGCUUACCAAGGCAACGAGGCGUAGCCGACCUGAGAGGGUGAUCGGCCACACUGGAACUGAGACACGGUCCAGACUCCUACGGGAGGCAGCAGUAGGGAAUCUUCCGCAAUGGGCGAAAGCUUGACGGAGCAACGCCGCGUGAGUGAUGAAGGUCUUCGGAUCGUAAAACUCUGUUAUUAGGGAAGAACAAAUGUGUAAGUAACUAUGCACGUCUUGACGGUACCUAAUCAGAAAGCCACGGCUAACUACGUG
rnacentral:rRNA from 1 species